rnacentral:rRNA from 1 species
CCUACGGGCGGCAGCAGUGAGGAAUAUUGGUCAAUGGACGAGAGUCUGAACCAGCCAAGUAGCGUGAAGGAUGACUGCCCUAUGGGUUGUAAACUUCUUUUAUAUAGGAAUAAAACGAGGCACGUGUGCCUUUUUGCAUGUACUUUAUGAAUAAGGAUCGGCUAACUCCGUGCCAGCAGCCGCGGUAAUACGGAGGAUCCGAGCGUUAUCCGGAUUUAUUGGGUUUAAAGGGAGCGUAGAUGGGUUGUUAAGUCAGUUGUGAAAGUUUGCGGCUCAACCGUAAAAUUGCAAUUGAUACUGGCAGUCUUGAGUACAGUUGAGGUAGGCGGAAUUCGUGGUAUAGCGGUGAAAUGCUUAGAUAUCACGAAGAACCCCGAUUGCGAAGGCAGCUCACUAAACUGUGACUGACACUGAGGCUCGAAAGUGUGGGUAUCAAACAGGAUUAGAUACCCUAGUAGUC